GUACACUCCUACGGGAGGCAGCAGUGGGGAAUAUUGCACAAUGGGCGCAAGCCUGAUGCAGCCAUGCCGCGUGUAUGAAGAAGGCCUUCGGGUUGUAAAGUACUUUCAGCGGGGAGGAAGGCGAUAAGGUUAAUAACCUUGUUGAUUGACGUUACCCGCAGAAGAAGCACCGGCUAACUCCGUGCCAGCAGCCGCGGUAAUACGGAGGGUGCAAGCGUUAAUCGGAAUUACUGGGCGUAAAGCGCACGCAGGCGGUCUGUCAAGUCGGAUGUGAAAUCCCCGGGCUCAACCUGGGAACUGCAUUCGAAACUGGCAGGCUAGAGUCUUGUAGUGGGGGGUAGAAUUCCAGGUGUAGCGGUGAAAUGCGUAGAGAUCUGGAGGAAUACCGGUGGCGAAGGCGGCCCCCUGGACAAAGACUGACGCUCAUGCACGAAAGCGUGGGGAGCAAACAGGAGUAGAUACCCCUGUAGUCCCAUG
rnacentral:rRNA from 1 species